rnacentral:lncRNA from 1 species
AGUUCCAAGGGAUUUUAAAUUAAGCAUGGUGCUUAGGUUAAAAUGCCCUCCUAAAUCAAAUCAGACAUGGUGUCUAGGUUGAUUUUUGAGCCGAAAGUAUGCUAUAGUAGAUAUUGGAUAUUUUGUUGGACUAACCCCUGCAGGAAAACUUUCAAUAUCGACCUGGGAAGUCCUGAGAUAAACUCACAUCAGAGACAAAGAGAGAGACACAUGAAGUUUAACAAUUUACACAAGGAAGACGUAGCUCAUAAGAGAUGAUCCAUGGAGGGUGCUACAAACACGAUGCACAACCGCUAAGAAAGGAAAGCUUCCACAAGGUGAGACUGUACCAUCACUCUUCAAUUAAGGUAACACCUUAAGGUACUUGACUAUCACUUUUAUAAGCUUCUCCUUGGUUCUGGCGUUCAUAUGAAUAAAAGAGACAAACAUGUAUGAUUUAUAACUCCAAAUUAACCAACCCCACUGAUUCAAUAUGUUUAGUCCCUUAAUCUUUGAUCCCCACACUCCUAGUCAUAUGAGCUAAAAUGUUGCACAUUUAAUCUUUGGGAAGAUAUAAAGAAAAAGACAUAUAUAUAGAUAGAUUAUCUUUCUAUUAGGUUGAGCGAUCUGAUCCGGCAAAUGUUUUAAAUGCUACACUCAUGAACUUAUCAUUCAUCAACUUUGUCUUGCUCACCAUGCUUAAGGUUAGAGAAGAACAAAUACACUUUUGGUUCUGUUGGUGUUUUCCACCAAUAGGGCCCAUGCACUUGAUCUCUGCCUUGUCUCUAUGAGCAGGUACACUACGAGCACAAACACACGGAGCAAGAUACUGCCAACACCGCACUUCGAACUACUGGGCAAACGAAGAACAUGGGUGACACCGUAUUAAGAGGUGCAGACGUCAAGGUCCACACCUGAAUCAAAUGACACACCUAAAGAAUGAACACGGUGAGAAGUCUUAUUCAGAAGACUUAAAACAUUAAAUCCUCGCCGAAAGGUAAAAUCGGUAGUUAUCCAUAUUUAUCCUUUCUGCAUUCCCUUUUCCCUUUAAUUAUUUACUUUCCUUAAAUAGCUUAUUAGUUAAUCAUGCUAUCUUGAAAAGAAAAUAAAAGUGUUAAAAAUACUAAGCCCCAUGUGAGUAUGCUCGUGGCAUGAAACCCAUAAGUACAUUCACUGUGGUGGUGUAAAAAUAAAAUAAAUAUAUUCUUGUCCUAUAGAAAUGAAAAUAUAAAAAUAAAUUUAUGAUCCUACCAAAGAGAGUAAUAUUUAUUAGAGGAAGCUCAACAUGAUAAAGGCGAAGAGAUUUUAUGCUAACACUUAACCAGUUCCACAAAGCUGUGUUGUCUAUUUGAGCUCCACAUAAUUCAAGGAUCAAAGAAGACUAGUAGACGGAGGACAUUCUAAUCGCUGUCAGGGUGCUGCCGACAUUCAAAUACACCUCCGCACAGCUACAUCAGAAGAAAUUACGUCAAAAUCUAGCUUGGGGGAGAGCACCCCCAUUUAUCCAGCUAAGUGUUUCUACGCAUGUUUAUACUUUACUCAAAUAAUAAAUAGAUGCAUAAUCAUAAAAAACCCAAAUAAAGAUUUUAUGCUUAUAUAUAUAUAUAUAUAUCUUUUCUUAGUUUGCUAAAUAAAUAAAUAAAUAAAGUUUGCUAUGAACUCUCAUGAUAAGCUCUCACAUGGAAAUGAUGAAUAGUUGCUCUGCCUUGACUAGUUCUCAAAAGUGAAAUCUCUCUCAAGUUUAGGUAUGACUGUUAUGAAUUAAAAUUUGCUCUAAACCUAAACUUGUGGGAAGAGUACUUGAUCUAAAGUCUAAGUCGUUGACGGAUAUGAUAUGGGGAGGUUGAGCUGCUGUUUAUCUGUUCCUAGAGAUGCUAGAAUUCUGGAGAAUUUUAUCUUUGAAAAUAAUUAAAAUGUUGCAUGAUGAGUUUCUAUAUGAUGAGAGUUUAAAAUCCUACCACAGCCAUAUAUACAUGCUUAUUAGACUAUGAACCAUACAUUUACUUUUUACUGCUUAUGAGCCUUGAGUGUGGUCAAGCUGUGUAGACCCUUAGGAGCUUGUCAUGCGGUUAAAAUCAAGAUUCACUUGCACGUUCACUCAUACAUGCUGCUUCUACUCCGGAAGUACGCAUCCACAUACAUCCACUCCUUUCCAUCUCGAGAUUCAACUAAAAUUAUUCUACUCCUAUCCAGGAGAGAAUAGCCAAAAACAUUAUCCUAUCCCUAUUAUUCCCUGUGAAAUAAAUGCUCUUGAUAUUUUGGCUACUACCAUUUGCUACAUUAUUCUAGGAGGAUGAGUGCUCUGAAAAAAAGAAAAGAAAAAAUAUAGGAGGAACUAAAAAUGGGCAAGUGCCUGGAACCUCGAAGAAAAGAAAAAGUGAGACGAGAGGUAAAAAUGGACAAGUGUCCGACAGUAGAAUUAGGGGUACAAGAUACCCACCUGAGAAAAAAAUAUAUAUAUAUAGAGCAUCUCAUUCCCCUCAAAAAGCUUCAAAGUGCAAGAAAGGUAUGUAUCCCCUCAAAAGAGCAAAAGUAGAAUUAGACUUUCACCAAUGUUUUCACCAUCAUCACCAUACACCAUUCAUUCGCCACACAUGCACAUCUUGAUUUGACUUAUUGACUUGUUUCUCUGGAUCCAUGGUUUGACUAUGCAAUAAAUGUCUUGUAAGUAUGUAUUAGCUGUCUCCCACCUAUGAGCUCCAGAUAUCAAAACCUUGUUAGAGUAGGGUGAGAGAGAAGGCAAUAUCACUAUGCCUCAUACCAAAAAUACCACGUGCUUUGAGAGAAGGCAUAUAUCAUCACUGCUUUGGUAAGGAUCUAGAAAUACCACAAAAGAGAGAAUUGAGAGAGUCAUAUAAGGAAUCUCUGAGUUUUAUUUGAAAAUCUGCAAAAAAAACUCCAGAGCUAUAGUUGAUCAAAGAACAAGAGACAUGGUGCUUGACUUGACCGUUCUAUCUUUUAACUGCUCAAGACACAAGUGACGGUUGCAAGCCCCAUGGUGAAAGGUAAUAUGAGUAAGUUUAAAUCUUAACAGUUUACCUUAACCUAGAGAUGAGAUCUUGUUUGAACGCACGAGUACCUUUAAGGCAUAAAACCACUGCAGAAACUCUUGAGUCCAUUCUUGCUCAGGGACGAGGAAGAGGUAAGCUUGGGGGAGUUGUUGACGGUCCUUAAGUACCAAAUAUAAUUAUCAAAUAAACAAAGAAAAGGAUCCAAAUACAACCAACAUCUAAACUUAGGGUUUUAUAUGAUAGAAUUCCACGAGUUUUGGUGUUUGUCUGUCACACCCAUAUUUUAAGAACAAAAUAGGAUGCAUAAAAGACUCAUAUGUGCCCCAGAAACAGUCACACACAUAAGUAGACAAAUCUCAAAUGUACCAUUGCAGUGUUUAUUACAUAACGGAAUAUAAUAUAUCACAUAGUCUCAUACAAAAAUGAUAGCAUAAAGUAAACAACGCUCUCGACGGAAGCUCCACACAGGGACACUGUUGACUGGUUGACUCCAAACCUACUACUCAUAACGGUAGUUCUCAUUCCAGACAUCUUCAUUAUCAUAUCCUGAGGUGUUGGGAAAUUGCAAGAGUGAGCACAUAUCGUACUCAACAAGUAUAACCAGGGGUUCAUGAGGCUCAAAUAGCUGACAAUGUUUUGACUGCAUUUAGCUUUUAAUGGUGGAUAGCAUAUUCAUUAUUAAAUAGCAAAUGUCAAGGUAGCAUAAAUAAUCCAUUAAUCCCAUGAUCAAGUGUAAGCAUAAUUUAUUCACAGCAUAAACGAUAAUCAAAUGAACAUAAUAACAUAAUAAGCUCAUCAUCUUAAUGUAGACGUCCCCAAGGACGCUCCUGACCGUGAGCUCGGCUAGUAUACCAGUUUUACACUCUGCAGAGGUUGUACAUCUUUACCCAUGAGUCAUGAUUUACCCUUUCGCCCAAGGUAGCUAGUCUCUUAACCCCCUUCCUAGGGAGGUCGGCAGGGAUCACUAUGAAGCCUUUCAAAAGUUUGUCUAACAUGUUAGGGCUGCAAGGUUUCCUUUGCGCGCAGAUAUAGAGCCCCCCUUCCGAUGGCACAAUGACUCGCAGCCUAUACACAUACAGAUAGAGGCCACACUAUACCCAAAACGGUUCAGCCCCUCUGCCCUUUCGGGUAACCUCUAACAAGCUAGAAAAGGGCUUCAUACUGAGCUAAAGCC